rnacentral:rRNA from 1 species
UACGGAGGGGGCUAGCGUUGUUCGGAAUUACUGGGCGUAAAGCGCACGUAGGCGGCUUUGUAAGUUAGAGGUGAAAGCCCAGGGCUUAACCCUGGAAUUGCCUUUAAGACUGCAUCGCUCGAAUUGUGGAGAGGUGAGUGGAAUUCCGAGUGUAGAGGUGAAAUUCGUAGAUAUCGGGGAGGAACACCGGUGGCGAAGGCGGGCGAUCUGGGGUCGAUACUGACGCUGAGGAGCGAAAGCGUGGGGGAGCGAACAGG